AUAUAGCAUCUUUUGAACUGUAAAUCUUGAUUAAUGAUUUAUGAAAAAACUUAAAAUUUAAGACUUUUCAUUUAAUACUUCAAAUUUUUUAUAAAGCAAAAAUACUUGAUUUUUAGGCAAAUGCAUGAUGUUUUAUGAAACUUAAAAAUUAAAAAGUUAACCAAUUUAGAAAAAAAAUAUUUGCAUUUGAUUAAUUUUCCAUAGACAUAUAUAUAUAUGCUAUAUGGUUAAUGUUUUGCAUAUUUGCUUAAAUUUUUUGAGGGGGAAAUAUUGAGUGUAUAUAAACAUUAUGAGGGGUGCUGCUUUUAUUGACAAUCACUGUGAUAACAUAUUGCAUAUGUCCUCAAUAUUGUUCUUUUUUAAAAUUCAUCUAAUUCUGACCAUUUUUAAAGAGGAAUUAUAGGAAAUUUGAAGCUAGGUAGCAUAUACAUGUAUACAAAUUUCAUAUAUAAAUGCUGUAUGGCGACUUUAUAAUUGCUUACAGCCACUUCAUUUGGACUCUGUUGGAUAGCGGUCUCAUCGACACUCAUAUUACCUCUUUAUUUUAUACUGAUAAUCUGUUUUUUUUGUUUUUUUUUACCAAAAUGUUAUAGAAAUUUAAGUAAUUUCUGUAUAACUUUAAUUAAUAUUUCUCUUUGGAUAAAACUAUUACUAAUUGUAUGCUUACUUAAAAUAAUUUAUUUUUGAUAUUUGCAUUUAAAAUCCAGACUGAGAUUGAGUACUAAUAUAUUAUUUACCAGUAUGUUAAAUUUAUAAUUUUACUGUUUUAUGUAAUUGAUAAACAAAAUAUUUAUUUUUUUUAAGAA
rnacentral:lncRNA from 1 species